UGGGGAAUAUUGCACAAUGGGGGAAACCCUGAUGCAGCGACGCCGCGUGAGCGAAGAAGGUUUUCGAAUCGUAAAGCUCUGUCCUAUGAGAAGAUAAUGACGGUAUCAUAGGAGGAAGCCCCGGCUAAAUACGUGCCAGCAGCCGCGGUAAUACGUAUGGGGCGAGCGUUGUCCGGAAUUAUUGGGCGUAAAGGGUACGUAGGCGGUCUAUUAAGUCAGGUGUGAAAGCGUGAGGCUUAACCUCAUUAAGCACUUGAAACUGAUAGACUUGAGUGAAGGAGAGGAAAGUGGAAUUCCUAGUGUAGCGGUGAACUGCGUAGAUAUUAGGAGGAAUACCGGUGGCGAAGGCGACUUUCUGGACUUUUACUGACGCUCAGGUACGAAAGCGUGGGGAGCAAACAGG
rnacentral:rRNA from 1 species